AUGGCCGUUUCUCCCCACAGUGGAGCUCCUAACUCUGGCGGAGCCCACUCCGCGUGGGUGUUGCCUCCCUUUCCGCCAAAGGGGUUGGAUCCGAACGUGCGCCUUCCUCUCACCAGCUCCACUCGCCCCGCCGCCAGGAGCACUUGCAGGAAAAGUGUGGCCCGGCCCAGGGCGGGGUUGCUCCGGAUGCGACCUGUACCGCCCUGCUCUCCUCCCCAAACUCACGCUGCCCUCGGACCCCAGCCUGUCCCGUCGCGCUCAGCGCCCGAAGCUCGCCGUGCCGACGCCCAGGAGACCUCCUGCCUCGGUCGCGAUUCCUGGAGGGCCGAUCGCCCACCCGCCCGGGUCCGCCUGAGGACGGGGGCGCCUUCAUGCGGCCCCCACAUUCCUCAUCCCGCCGCCGCCGCCGCCGUCUCCGAGCUCCGCGCGCUGCGCCCCAGCCCCAGCAGGGCACUCAACUUUGGAAGUCCCGCGACGCUCCGAGAGGCGGCAGAGUCCGCACCGUGGCCCCAACCCGGGCCCCGCCGGCCCCGCCGCGUCUGGGGGAAGCGAGAGAGUCGGUGUUCGCUUCGGAGAUAUAAGGAGAGAGACACACGACCCCAAGCCAGCAUCAGCACCCCUCGGCUGCCUCCCGGGUUGGGGGCGGGCCCCGCACACGAGCCAGAGGGUAGGACUGGACAAACUUCAAGACCCAGACCAGAUCCAUAGUGACCACGAUGGUUUCUCCUGAAGCAGCCCUGAAACCGAAGUCUCCUGGUGGCCAG
rnacentral:lncRNA from 1 species